AACGAACGCUGGCGGCAGGCUUAACACAUGCAAGUCGAGCGCUGUAGCAAUACAGAGCGGCAGACGGGUGAGUAACACGUGGGAAUCUACCCAUCCCUGCGGAACAACUCCGGGAAACUGGAGCUAAUACCGCAUACGCCCUACGGGGGAAAGAUUUAUCGGGGAUGGAUGAGCCCGCGUUGGAUUAGCUAGUUGGUGGGGUAAAGGCCUACCAAGGCGACGAUCCAUAGCUGGUCUGAGAGGAUGAUCAGCCACAUUGGGACUGAGACACGGCCCAAACUCCUACGGGAGGCAGCAGUGGGGAAUAUUGGACAAUGGGCGCAAGCCUGAUCCAGCCAUGCCGCGUGAGUGAUGAAGGCCUUAGGGUUGUAAAGCUCUUUCACCGAUGAAGAUAAUGACGGUAGUCGGAGAAGAAGCCCCGGCUAACUUCGUGCCAGCCGCCGCGGUAAUAC
rnacentral:rRNA from 1 species